CUCCUUCACUCCGUCCGUCCUUCAAAGUUAAAACCCUAUAAACCUCUCUGUGGGCGAAGAUCGAUCUCACUUUUUUCUUCUUCUUCUUCUUCCGAGCAUCAUCGUCUCUAUCUCUUGCAAUGGCUUCCAGAAUCAUGAACAGAUCAUCCGUGUCGUCUCUCAGAUCCGCAAUCAGAUCCUUGCUUCGAAAUUCUCCUGUUGGCACCGGAUCUUCACCGGCUGCUUCAUCCGCCGGAUUUAGUAUUCCGUCUAAACCCGCUGCUUCUACUCCUCUUCCCCGAUUCUCUUUCUCCAGGUGUCCAUCUGAGCUUGGUUGUGUUCAGUCGCUGUUACCGCUUCACAGCACAGUGGCGGCUGCUCGGUUGACGUCUUGCCUUAGCACUACUUCCAGAAGCAGCCGAGCUCUCUCUCAGGGUACUCUCUGCUGCACCUCUCCCGACCUCUAAUUCUCUUUUCUGCUCUUUCUUUCUUGCACAUAAUUUCACCGUUACCAUGUGGGAUCCUUGCAUCUUUAUCAAUCUAGGGAAGUUAGUUCAUGAUCUGCGUAUAAGAGUGGCAAAUAUACUCUAGUAAUUUGUAAAAGUGCUCUUUGUCCCAGAUGGAAUCGAUGGCACGUGAGACGUAUUUGCAGUUGUUUUUAAAGAGAUGGGCCUUUCAGUACCAAGGUGACCUGAUACAUUCAUGAAGAUUAUUACUAUUGAGUGAGGAAAGUUCUUCUCUAAACUUAGAGACAAGUUCUUUGUUUGUGACUCCAGACUCAUGUCAUUUUCUUUUCGAUUCAUGAAAAAAAAAAUGUAAUACAAUUUCACCCUUUUCCACAACUCAUCUCCCAGAUUCAAAGCUA